GACACUUGCUGUAAGUGCACGUCACUUUCUGUGUAUUCAUUCUACACCUUCAUAAGGCUUGUGGCAGAAUUUGGACUAAUCAGGCUGCUGUACGCCCACCACAUGACCUAGAGCGGUGCCUUGUGGGAGCCAGGACUCCAUUUUACAGACCAUGCUGCUGGAAGACGCACACAGUUCUGCAUCUCCCUUAUGAUAGAAUCGCUGCUAUAUCACUGGUGAAUUCUACAAUCAAUUCCUGCAAGAGAAGGAAAAGGACGAUGAACAAUAAUGAUAGUUGUAUACAUCAGUUUAUAGAACUUAUUACAAAAACGGUUUAAGACUCAAAGAGUCAUUCAUUCCAUCUGGGAUAAGCGUUUUAAGUUUUUUGAUCCAUUUGCCUUCUGCCUAUAACAAGCUUGAUAAAGAGCCAGAGAUGGCUUGAAACGUUGCUACUAUUGGUCUGUGCCAUGUUUGAAUAAAGGCCUUUUUAUCAUA